CUAUCAAAUAGGGCGUAAAAGAUUAUACCAACAACACAUUGUUAAGUGGACAUUGAAAGCACCAAUAAGGACAAGGAAAUGGAGAAUGGGAUUCGAACAAGAUAAAUGAAAUGGGCACUUACAAUCCUUAGUUUGUGCAGCGAGACAAAAAAUAACAAGGCAAAAACAAUCCCGUGAGACACAGGUGAAAAAAAGGACAAGCAGCCAUGAUCUCAAUCUUUAUUUUCUGGUUGAUAGGUCAACUUUUAUUUACCAGCUAAAAUAAACAAACAAAAUAUCAUUUUGUCAAUCUCUGCAUCCCCUACAAUCAUGCUACACCACAGGUCAUCCUUUUAAUUAUGUCACCAAGUGCCAAGUGUAUAACUCAUUGAAAAAAUGGCAGAUAUCAUGUCACAAUCAUCAUAAGAAUAGUGCAAAUAAGUAACCUUGACUAUAAGAUAAUGAAGUUGCCAACUUGUCAUUCAAGAGAGUAGAUUCCUGACGUGGAAAAGGAUAUGGAUAUCUCCAGACAAACUCCAUGUGCAAGUGAAGCUGCAUAGGUCAUAGCUCACAGAUCUACCAUAAACUGACUUCUCUUGUUUUUUUGAAUUAUAGCAGAUAUCCCCACCUGUAGACAAAUAUCAAUUUCUAAUCAUAUAGUGUGUCACAAUGACAGAAUAAAUACGUCAUGUAGUAUGUCACGAUGACAUAAUAAAUACGCAUGACUAGAGCCAAGAAACGGCAUUUGCCAAAAUGACUUCUCCAGACAAAUGCACAUGCAGGGGAAGGUGGGUAGGUGAUGAGUGUCGGAUAUGCGAUGGCUAGACCAUGCUGUUAUUGAAGGAACCAACUGGAACGACCUUGCUAUAUACCACUUCUAUGUAGUACUUCCAUGUGCGUUAUCUUCUGUUACUGUGAGGAGACACCAUAUACACAUGCAAAGUUGAGGUAACGUGAAACCCAGGUAAUGGGAGAAACGUUACUAUUUACUAUCAAAGCUUGUUAUGUGGGUCUCAAUAAAUCAUAAAAUUGCCCAGAUCUAUUAUAACUCUCCUGCUGCAUGCUAUCCUUCCUUCUUGCCAGUCACUGCAUAGACAAGGGGCAUAUGCUGCUAACCAGGAGCAUCAGCAGUUUAGAUAAUGUACAUCCAGCUAAGUUAAUGGAAUUACAGGCAAAAUCUGGAUAGAACCUAAGCCAGUACCCUACAAAAUUACAGGCAAUGUUCCAAUAAAAAAACCCUAAGAGAAAAGAAAAUUGCAACUAGUAGGUCUCUUAAAGGCCACGAAACUACUUCCAAAUGUGGGAGGCGAUACAUGUCCAGCUUAUUUAGCAGCCUUCCUCCCAUCUCUAGGACCAACUUUUGAUGCAGAAUUUGGAGGGAGUUAAUUACUAAAGGUGAAUCCUGUCAUUUAAAUCGCAUCCAGACUCUCUUCUAGUCACCAUCAUGUGAUAGUUUAAUGUUUUAGGAAGCAUAUGCAAAUUAAAGGCCAAGGAGUCAUUAAUCAGAUUAAUGAAACUUUUCUCAAGCAUCCUGUUACCAAAAUUUGUUGCACUAAUGUUUUAGAAGCUCCACAGAAUAGAAACUGACACUCUUCCCUGUUAAAUAUUCAUGGAAGGAUAAGUUUUCAAAAUACCAAUGAGCAGAUAUGUCAACCACUAAGGGUCCACAACAUACUGAAGAAUCAACAAAAAGCAAUUCUAAUCCCACUGCUUUUCAUUUCAUAUGGUAACAUCAAUAUGCGAUUUCAAGCUACUGAAGUGUUGAAAACAGUGCAUGCAUUU
rnacentral:lncRNA from 1 species